rnacentral:rRNA from 1 species
UACGUAGGGGGCGAGCGUUGUCCGGAGUUACUGGGCGUAAAGCGCACGCAGGCGGUCUGUUAAGUUUGGAGUGACAGUUGGUGGCUUAACUGCCAAAGUGCUUCGAAAACUGACAGACUUGAGGGCUUCAGAGGGACACGGAACUCCAGGUGUAGUAGUGAAAUGCGUAGAUAUCUGGAAGAACACCAAUGGCGAAGGCAAUGUUCUGGCUCGUUUCUGACGCUCAGGUGCGAAAGCCAGGGGAGCGAACGGG